GUGUAUCAACCAAUCCUACAUCAUCAGCAGCUGAUUCUACUAGUUCAUCAACAGUAACAAAUGUUCAAGAUAAAACUACCAGUACCAGUAUACAGAUUCAAGAAUCAACAUCAGACGAUAAAGCAACAAGUAUUAACUGUGCAGGUUUGGAGUCCGAUAAAGGAACUUCUUCUAUAGUUGGUGGAGUUUUAGGAACAGCUUUAAUAAUCAGCCUUGUAAUCAACAUCCUCUUGGUGAUAUACUUUAACAGAAGACUGAAGACACUGAAGCCUGAAUCAGACGUCCAUCAAAGUGAACACCAACAUUACUCCACGCAAAGUAGAGGAGGAGAUGUUACUGCUGUUGUCUACGAUGUGUUAAACGAUAAUGAAGGUCAACAAUCAAGUACUACAGCCAAUGUACAGAUACAACGUACUAACGACAGUCCAUAUGAUUCAACUACCGGACGUGGACCAGUUGCUGUUUAUGAUUUGUUAAAUACAAGAGACCAGACUGGUUAUUAUAAUAUGGGUAAUAUCAACACAACUUGUACAUAAAAUGACAUCUAAAACACAUAUUUUAUUAGUGGUAUACUUAAACAUGUAAAUUAUAUAUCUAAUACACGCUCCCUUAAACUGGAAAUAACAAUAAACUAAAGGCAAUUUUAUUUUUAAAAACAACUGUAGUCGAUAUAACUUGGGGUAUUAGCGACAACUAAAGUAUCUAUACUUUCAUGGUUAAAAGCAUGUUGUAUCAUCACACAUCUAUUUUGCCAUCCAUAACCACACAUAUUAACCUAGUGAAAUCCAUAUAUUUUUCUACUUUUGUAUUUAUUAACUCUGACUUUGAAUUGACCUUUUAUUUGAAUCAUAUUACACAGGUUGUAAUGUAACAAGUGUAUAUAUGUUUGAUGUCGUCGGGU